rnacentral:rRNA from 1 species
UACGUAGGGUGCAAGCGUUAAUCGGAAUUACUGGGCGUAAAGCGUGCGCAGGCGGUUGUGCAAGACAGAUGUGAAAUCCCCGGGCUCAACCUGGGAACUGCAUUUGUGACUGCACGGCUAGAGUGUGUCAGAGGGGGGUAGAAUUCCACGUGUAGCAGUGAAAUGCGUAGAUAUGCGGAGGAACACCGAUGGCGAAGGCAAUCCCCUGGGCCUGCACUGACGCUCAUGCACGAAAGCGUGGGGAGCAAACAGG